rnacentral:miRNA from 1 species
AAUUUCCCGUGUUGAGUGG